UGGUGCCUUCGGGAACUGUGAGACAGGUGCUGCAUGGCUGUCGUCAGCUCGUGUUGUGAAAUGUUGGGUUAAGUCCCGCAACGAGCGCAACCCUUAUCCUUUGUUGCCAGCGAUUAGGUCGGGAACUCAAAGGAGACUGCCAGUGAUAAACUGGAGGAAGGUGGGGAUGACGUCAAGUCAUCAUGGCCCUUACGACCAGGGCUACACACGUGCUACAAUGGCGCAUACAAAGAGAAGCGACCUCGCGAGAGCAAGCGGACCUCAUAAAGUGCGUCGUAGUCCGGAUUGGAGUCUGCAACUCGACUCCAUGAAGUCGGAAUCGCUAGUAAUCGUGGAUCAGAAUGCCACGGUGAAUACGUUCCCGGGCCUUGUACACACCGCCCGUCACACCAUGGGAGUGGGUUGCAAAAGAAGUAGGUAGCUUAACCUUAGGGAGGGCGCUUACCACUUUGUGAUUCAUGACUGGGGUGAAGUCGUAACAAGGUAACCGUAGGGGAACCUGCGGUUGGAUCACCUCCUUA
rnacentral:rRNA from 1 species